AAUAUUACUUGAAUAAAUAUCUAGAAAUGAUUAGAUUUUGGAGUAGUUUGGUCAAAGGUCAUGGAAAACAUGGUCAGAAAACCUCUUUUUU